rnacentral:pre_miRNA from 12 species
UCUGGAUGGCUUCUCUCUCUUGGUGCUUUCAGCUUCUUUACAGUGCUGCCUUGUUGCAUUGAUGUCAAGCAGCAUUGUACAGGGCUAUGAAAGAACCAAGACGGAUCUUCGCUGCAUUCG